CGCCGAAUGGAGCAGGUCGGUAGCUCGUGAGGCUCAUAACCUCAAGGUCGUGGGUUCAAAUCCCACUUCGGCAACUA
rnacentral:tRNA from 1 species